GCCUGGCUGGCUCAGUUGGUGGGAGCAUGAGACUACUGACCUCAGGACUGUGAGUUCAAGCCCCAUGCUGGGUA
rnacentral:tRNA from 1 species